AGCAGCCGCGGUAAUUCCAGCUCCAAUAGCGUAUAUUAAAGUUGUUGCAGUUAAAAAGCUCGUAGUUGAACUUCGGGGUUUACCCAUUGGUCAGGCUUAAUUGUCUGUACUGGUGAGAUAAAUCUCUACCUUCUGAGGAACUUUCAUGUCAUUAAUUUGGUGUGAUUGGAAAUCAGGACUGUUACUUUGAAAAAAUUAGAGUGUUUAAAGCAGGCUAACGUCUGAAUACAUUAGCAUGGAAUAAUGAAAUAGGACGGACUGAUUCUAUUUCGUUGGUUUCUAGGAUCACCGUAAUGAUUAAUAGGGAUAGUUGGGGGCAUUAGUAUUCAAUUGUCAGAGGUGAAAUUCUUGGAUUUAUUGAAGACUAACUACUGCGAAAGCAUUUGCCAAGGAUGUUUUCAUUAAUCAAGAACGAAAGUUAGGGGAUCGAAGACGAUCAGAUACCGUCGUAGUCUUAACCAUAAACUAUGCCGACUAGGGAUCGGACGAAGUUAAUUUUAUAAUGACGCGUUCGGGCACC
rnacentral:rRNA from 1 species